rnacentral:rRNA from 1 species
AACGAACGCUGGCGGCAGGCCUAACACAUGCAAGUCGAGCGAGGACUUCGGUUCUAGCGGCGGACGGGUGAGUAACGCGUGGGAAUGUGCCCUUCUCUACGGAAUAGCCCUGGGAAACUGGGAGUAAUACCGUAUACGCCCUAUUGGGGAAAGAUUUAUCGGAGAAGGAUCAGCCCGCGUUGGAUUAGGUAGUUGGUGGGGUAAUGGCCUACCAAGCCGACGAUCCAUAGCUGGUUUGAGAGGAUGAUCAGCCACACUGGGACUGAGACACGGCCCAGACUCCUACGGGAGGCAGCAGUGGGGAAUCUUAGACAAUGGGGGCAACCCUGAUCUAGCCAUGCCGCGUGAGUGAUGAAGGCCUUAGGGUUGUAAAGCUCUUUCAGCUGGGAAGAUAAUGACGGUACCAGCAGAAGAAGCCCCGGCUAACUCCAUG